GCCGCCGUAGCUUAGCGGAAGAGCGAGAAGUGCCUACAGGCACUCCCUCGAAUCCGGCUGUGGACCGGAAGGUCGUGGGUUCAAGUCCCACCGGCGGCC
rnacentral:tRNA from 1 species